rnacentral:rRNA from 1 species
UACGGAGGGGGCUAGCGUUGUUCGGAAUUACUGGGCGUAAAGCGCGCGUAGGCGGAUUGAAAAGUCAGAGGUGAAAUCCCAGGGCUCAACCUUGGAACUGCCUUUGAAACUAUCAGUCUUGAGUUCGAGAGAGGUGAGUGGAAUUCCGAGUGUAGAGGUGAAAUUCGUAGAUAUUCGGAGGAACACCAGUGGCGAAGGCGGCUCACUGGCUCGAUACUGACGCUGAGGUGCGAAAGCGUGGGGAGCAAACAGG